GACAGAGGUCCCGAGCGUUAGGCGGAAUCACUGGGCUUAAAGCGUGUGUAGGCGGACUUCUAAGUCCCUUGUGAAAUCCCACGGCUUAACCGUGGAACUGCUCGGUAUACUGGUUGUCUUGGGCCAUCUAGGGGCUACCGGAACAAGUGGUGGAGCGGUGAAAUGCGUAGAUAUCAGGAGGAACACCGGUGGCGAAGGCGGGGCUCUGGGCAGUAACUGACGCUGAGGAGCGAAAGCGUGGGGAGCGAACAGG
rnacentral:rRNA from 1 species